rfam:Sediminibacillus halophilus strain CGMCC 1.6199 genome assembly, contig: Ga0079860_101
AUGUAAUCAAAUGGGAAUGGUGCAGUAUUCUAGUCGGUCCUCCGUUCCUGAAGGCGGGCCUAAAAAUCCGCCAAAGGGCACAUCGAUGAAGUUCCUUGUGCUGGCUUGAGGCGCCCAGCCUUGGGUCAGUGCUGGGAGUUAAGGUAGCAGGGCGAUCCACAAAGGCAUGUGGGCGAGGACCCUGCUUCCGCGGAGGCCCAUCUCUGUAGUGGCGGCUAAGCCUAGUAGCUGCUAUGGAAUGGGGUAUGAACCUGCGCAAUAGGGAAAGGGAAUCUCUAUUCGCAGCGUAGCCUGCCUUGAGUGGCCCUGAGGGGAUAAUGGCUCACGGCGUGAUAAAAGCGGCCACUUUUAUUUCGCUAUUUUGCCAUUUGAAAUCAGUGCUGCAAAAGAGGCUAGGGAACGGCUAAAGACUGUCGAGGAAAUCUCCUAGACUGUUCCAAUGGACAUUUAAAAGGGAUUAUAGUGCGGACUAAGUGGCAAUCCAGUCUAGCUUUUGGUGACAAAGCUAAGGUGGAUUUAAAGGGGAACCGCCAGAAUGGCAACAUUCGGUAUCCAUCUGGGAAAACCUACUGGACCUAAGCCGCAGUUUUUACCUUUUAAAUGACCAUUCCUUAUACAUAAUUC